rnacentral:rRNA from 1 species
AGUGAACGCUGGCGGUAGGCCUAACACAUGCAAGUCGAACGGCAGCACAGUAAGAGCUUGCUCUUACGGGUGGCGAGUGGCGGACGGGUGAGGAAUACAUCGGAAUCUACUUUUUCGUGGGGGAUAACGUAGGGAAACUUACGCUAAUACCGCAUACGACCUACGGGUGAAAGCAGGGGAUCUUCGGACCUUGCGCGAUUGAAUGAGCCGAUGUCGGAUUAGCUAGUUGGCGGGGUAAAGGCCCACCAAGGCGACGAUCCGUAGCUGGUCUGAGAGGAUGAUCAGCCACGCUGGAACUGAGACACGGUCCAGACUCCUACGGGAGGCAGCAGUGGGGAAUAUUGGACAAUGGGCGCAAGCCUGAUCCAGCCAUACCGCGUGGGUGAAGAAGGCCUGCGGGUUGUAAAGCCCUUUUGUUGGGAAAGAAAAGCAGCAGGUUAAUACCCCGCUGUUCUGACGGUACCCAAAGAAUAAGCACCGGCUAACUUCGU